AGCAGCCGCGGUAAUUCCAGCUCCAAUAGCGUAUAUUAAAGUUGUUGCAGUUAAAAGCUCGUAGUUGAAUUUCGGGAUCAAUUUAUUGGUCGUGCAAUAGUACGUACUGGUAUUAUUGGUUCCUACCUUCUGAUGAACCAUGAUGUCAUUAAUUUGGUGUUAUGGGGAAUCAGGACUGUUACUUUGAAAAAUUGAGUGUUUAAAGCAGGCUCACGCUUGAAUACAUUAGCAUGGAAUAAUGAAAUAGGACGUUUGAUUCUAUUUUGUUGGUUUCUAGGAUCGACGUAAUGAUUAAUAGGGAUAGUUGGGGGCAUUAGUAUUCAAUU
rnacentral:misc_RNA from 1 species